UACAGAGGUCCCGAGCGUUGUUCGGAUUCAUUGGGCGUAAAGGGCGCGUAGGCGGCGGGGUAAGUCGGGUGUGAAAUCUCAGAGCUCAACUCUGAAACUGCACUCGAUACUGCUCUGCUUGAGGACUGGAGAGGAGACUGGAAUUCACGGUGUAGCAGUGAAAUGCGUAGAUAUCGUGAGGAAGACCAGUGGCGAAGGCGGGUCUCUGGACAGUUCCUGACGCUGAGGCGCGAAGGCCAAGGGAGCAAACGGG
rnacentral:rRNA from 1 species